AUGUCAGCAGGAAACCAUUCCUCAGUGACUGAGUUCAUUCUGGCUGGGCUCUCAGAACAGCCAGAGCUCCAGCUGCGCCUCUUCCUCCUGUUCUUAGGAAUCUAUGUGGUCACAGUGGUGGGCAACUUGAGCAUGAUCACACUGAUUGGGCUCAGUUCUCACCUGCAUACCCCCAUGUACUAUUUCCUCAGUGGUCUGUCCUUCAUUGAUCUCUGCCAUUCCACUAUCAUUACCCCCAAAAUGCUGGUGAACUUUGUGACAGAGAAGAACAUCAUCUCCUACCCUGAAUGCAUGACUCAGCUUUACUUCUUCCUCAUUUUUGCUAUUGCAGAGUGUCACAUGUUGGCUGUAACGGCAUAUGACCGCUAUGUUGCCAUCUGCAGCCCCUUGCUGUACAAUGUCAUCAUGUCCUAUCACCACUGCUUCUGGCUCACAGUGGGAGUUUACGUUUUAGGCAUCCUUGGAUCUACAAUUCACACCGGCUUUAUGUUGAGACUCUUUUUGUGCAAGACUAAUGUGAUUAACCAUUAUUUUUGUGAUCUCUUCCCUCUCUUGGGGCUCUCCUGCUCCAGCACCUACAUCAAUGAAUUACUGGUUCUGGUCUUGAGUGCAUUUAACAUCCUGACGCCUGCCUUAACCAUCCUUGCUUCUUACAUCUUUAUCAUUGCCAGCAUCCUCCGCAUUCGCUCCACUGAGGGCAGGUCCAAAGCCUUCAGCACUUGCAGCUCCCACAUCUUGGCUGUUGCUGUUUUCUUUGGGUCUGCAGCAUUCAUGUACCUGCAGCCAUCAUCUGUCAGCUCCAUGGACCAGAGGAAAGUGUCCUCUGUGUUUUAUACUACUAUUGUGCCCAUGCUGAACCCCCAAUCUAUAGCCUAA